rnacentral:rRNA from 1 species
GAUGAACGCUGGCGGCAUGCCUAAUACAUGCAAGUCGUGCGAGAAGCUAUCUUCGGAUAGCGGACAGCGGCGGACGGGUGAGUAACACGUAGAAAUAUACCCCAAGGUGAGGGAUAAGCAUCGGAAACGGUGUCUAAUACCGCAUGUUAUCUAAGGAUAAAAGAUUUAUCGCCAUGGGAAUAGUCUGCGUCUGAUUAGCUAGUUGGUAGGGUAAAGGCCUACCAAGGCGAUGAUCGGUAGCUGGUUUGAGAGGAUGAUCAGCCACACUGGGACUGAGACACGGCCCAGACUCCUACGGGAGGCAGCAGUAGGGAAUUUUCCACAAUGGACGAAAGUCUGAUGGAGCAAUGCCGCGUGCAGGAUGAAGGUCUUCGGAUUGUAAACUGCUUUUAUAGUUGAAGAUUAUGACGGUAAGCUAUGAAUAAGGACCGGCUAACUACGUG